rnacentral:rRNA from 1 species
UACAGAGGUCUCAAGCGUUGUUCGGAUUCAUUGGGCGUAAAGGGUGCGUAGGCGGCGUGGUAAGUCGGGUGUGAAAUCUCGGAGCUUAGCUCCGAAACUGCAUUCGAUACUGCCGUGCUUGAGGACUGGAGAGGAGACUGGAAUUUACGGUGUAGCGGUGAAAUGCGUAGAUAUCGUAAGGAAGACCAGUGGCGAAGGCGGGUCUCUGGACAGUUCCUGACGCUGAGGCACGAAGGUCAGGGGAGCAAACGGG